rnacentral:misc_RNA from 1 species
GGAGGAGAGGUGUAGGGUUGUGGGUGGGGUGUUGGUAGGAGACUAGGAAUUGAGAGUUGGCUAAGUUGAAGAAGAAGGGUUGGAGGUUGAGGGUCUGUGGUCAAAGUGUAACCCCAAUUAUAAUGUCAGAGGUCUUACAUCCUAGAUUUGAAGCAAAAGUUGGAGCAAGGAUGCUCAAUAACUUCUUCAGCAUAGAGAUUGUCUAAAGUGUUUAUGCACAUUCGUUAAAUUGUUAAGAUGCAUACAUGGACUGUUCUUAUAACUUUGUGGUGCUCUGGGUUGUAUAUGAGAUUUCAUUUAAGGAUUAGGAAACAAAAGUUAUAAGCUUAUUUUCUGACAGGAUGAUUUAUAAUUUAAUUAUCUGUUUCAUUCAUGUCAUUGUUUUGAAUUUGAGUUUCUUUUGUGUUCAGUGCAAGCAUUUAUGGCGCAUUCAUUAAGUUAUGGUUAAUUUGUUUGCCCAUUUAAUCAAUUUUUUAAAAAGCACAUCAAGUCAAUUAAAUUUUUGGAAAUUAUCAGUUUUAUGCAUGCCAUUGUUUCUCCUUAUAUACCUCUUAUCCAAACGCACCAUAAAUAUGAUAAUUCACUGUAGAAAUUAGUACGCAACGUAUUAAUUUCAAGUGAAGUUUAUAGAUCUUUGGCAUUUAGAAUGAACACUUGAGUUGGAGAGACAAAAACAUAUUACGUAAUUUUGUUGUUGGUGCCAAGCAUGUAUUUAAAUUGCGACAGAAAUGGCACCAUAAAUAUGACAUAUCACUACAAAAAUUAGUAUGUAACAUUUUAAUUUCACAUUUUAAUUUCAAGUGAAGUUGAUCGAUCUUUGGUAUUUAGAAUGAGCGCUUGAGUCAAAGAGAGGAAAACAUAAUUUAUGUAAUUUUUUUGGAGGUGCCAAGCAUGGAUUUAAAUCACAACAAAAAUAGGAUUGUAACUGUUAUAAUAUAACAGUAACAUUCUAUUGCUACGCAAUUUUUUUUCCUAAAAACCUUAAAGUGCAUGAAAUAAAUAAUUAUUUAAAGAUAUAACUAAAACUAGGGUUAUGCACUGUUCUUGGGAGUCCCAAAUGGAAUAAAAAAAACCAUACCAAAUUGACAAGAAUCAUAUUGAAUUGAACUUGUUUUGAUUCUUUGGUUCAGUUUUGAUUCUUUACUAAAAACUGAACUGAAACCAUACUGAGCCAAGAAUCGAAUUUAUGCAUAUGUUUUUUUUAUGACUUUUUUAGACGUGUUAUACACUUCCAAUAUAAUUAUAUAUAUCUAUAUAUGUACAUAUAAUUAUAAACUAAAUAC